rnacentral:rRNA from 1 species
GAUGAACGCUGGCGGCAUGCCUAAUACAUGCAAGUCGAACGAAAGCACGAUAAGCUCUCUCCCCUGAUGUUGGCGGCGGGCGGGCGGGUAACACGUGCAUCACCAUCUACUUUUACUUGGAUGAUAACGUAAAGCAACAGCCACUACUACCGCAUAUGUUCUACCGCAUAGAUCAAAAGAUCAUCACGCUCUUGCCGUCUCUAUGAGAUGGAUUCGCGCUGCAUUAGCUAGUUGGUAAGGUAACGGCAUACCAAGGCGACGAUGCGUAGCUGACCUGAGAGGAUGAUCGGCCACACUGGAACUGAGACACGGUCCAGACUCCUACGGGAGGCAGCAGUAGGGAAUCUUCCGCAAUGGGCGAAAGCCUGACGGAGCAACGCCGCGUGAGUGAUGAAGGUCUUCGGGUCGUAAAGCCCUGUUAUUAGGAAAGAACAUAUGUGUAAGUAACUGUGCACAUCUUGACGGUACCUAAUGAGAAAGCCACGGCUAACUACGUG